rnacentral:ncRNA from 1 species
AGCAUGUGGUUUAAUUCGAUACAAUGCGCAAAACCUUACCAGCCCUUGACAUAUGAACAACAAAACCUGUCCUUAACAGGAUGGUACUGACUUUCAUACAAGUGCUGCAUGGCUGUCGUCAGCUUGGGUCGUGAGAUGUUUGGUCAAGUCCUAUAAUGAGCGAAACCCUCAUUUUAUGUUGCUGAGACAUGCGCCUAAGGAGAAAUUGCCACCAAGUGACGUGCCAGCGCUACUACUUGAUUGAGUUCCAGCACGUAGCUCUGCUUUCAGCAAGAAUUUCACCAUUGGGAGCCGGUGCCUUUCGAAGCACUUUCACGUGUGAACCGAAGUCGUCUUGCCCAAGACCCAUGGAGACCUACCUAUAGUGACGUCAAAGUACCAGUGAGCAUGGAGGUUUGGUUGAAAUUGGUUACGACGACGUCGAGUUGGCGGCGGAGGAAGACUCGGCAUGAAGGCCAGAAAAUGGUGUGGAACGUAGUGGUAAUAGUACGUGCCCCGCUCCGAAACAAAGAAAAAGGUGCGUGCUGCACUCACGAGGGACUGCCAGUGAGAUACUGGAGGAAGGUGGGGAUGACGUCAAGUCCGCAUGGUGACUCUAUUGGUCAUAGUUCCUUGCU